UACGAAGGGGGCUAGCGUUGCUCGGAAUGACUGGGCGUAAAGGGCGCGUAGGCGGACGGCUUUGUCGGGCGUGAAAUUCCAGGGCUCAACCUUGGGGCUGCGUUCGAGACGGGUUGUCUAGAGUUUGGGAGAGGGUCGUGGAAUUCCCAGUGUAGAGGUGAAAUUCGUAGAUAUUGGGAAGAACACCAGUGGCGAAGGCGGCUUCCUGGUCUGCAACUGACGCUGUGGCGCGAAAGCUAGGGGAGCAAACGGG
rnacentral:rRNA from 1 species